rnacentral:rRNA from 2 species
GGCACGACUCUCGACAAUGGAUAUCUCGGCUCUUGCAUCGAUGAAGAGCGCAGCGAAAUGCGAUACGUGGUGCGAAUUGCAGAAUCCCGUGAAC